AUUGAACGCUGGCGGCAGGCCUAACACAUGCAAGUCGAACGGUAACAGGAAGCAGCUUGCUGCUUUGCUGACGAGUGGCGGACGGGUGAGUAAUAUCUGGGAAACUGCCUGAUGGAGGGGGAUAACUACUGGAAACGGUAGCUAAUACCGCAUAACGUCGCAAGACCAAAGAGGGGGACCUUAGGGCCUCUUGCCAUCGGAUGUGCCCAGAUGGGAUUAGCUAGUAGGUGGGGUAACGGCUCACCUAGGCGACGAUCCCUAGCUGGUCUGAGAGGAUGACCAGCCACACUGGAACUGAGACACGGUCCAGACUCCUACGGGAGGCAGCAGUGGGGAAUAUUGCACAAUGGGCGCAAGCCUGAUGCAGCCAUGCCGCGUGUAUGAAGAAGGCCUUCGGGUUGUAAAGUACUUUCAGCGGGGAGGAAGGGAGUAAAGUUAAUACCUUUGCUCAUUGACGUUACCCGCAGAAGAAGCACCGGCUAACUCCGUG
rnacentral:rRNA from 1 species